rnacentral:lncRNA from 1 species
UGAAAGUGAAAUUAAGUUAUUCUACAAAUAUGAAGGUUUCUAUGACAGCAGUAACAUCAUUUCAAAGACCAAGAAGAAGGAAGGAGAGUAAAACUAAGUUAUGAACGAGAAAAUUGAUGUCAUUGCUUCAUAAUUUCCAUUUCUAUUUUUAUUCUUCAACUUGAGCAUCAAGUUAUAUGAGUUUCAAUACAUGUACCUAGUAUUGAACAAACAAAACCAAAAGAGAAAUGAGGUAUAAGCAAUACGCAGUAGCAGAAAUUAGCCCAGAUUCAGUAAUCAAUAGUGAAAUCAACUCAAAGCUCAAUGGAACAGUGACAAACUGAAGAAAACUUGGACCAGCACUUAAGAAAAAACCCAUUCAACCCAUUUCCAAUCCGAAAGAGAAGUAAUUAAAAAACUUCAAAACCACAGAAAGAGCUCAAUGAAACAGUAGUUUAAUGGAAAAUUUCUUAGCUAUUUUUUUGAUUUUUAUCCUUCAAAAUCCGUUCUAAAAUCUCUCUAAAAACUUUUCUCUUGAGCUUCAAGUAGCAAUGCCUUUAUAGGGAAGCUAUUAGGGUAACAGAAAUAGGCUAAGUUUUGCCCAUUAGACCUUUCUCAAUUUUCAUUUUUGCUACUUGGUCCCUAAAUUAUCGACUUGCUUGCCAAGCAAGUCUAUUUUCAGCUUCUAAGAAGCUUCAUAGUCUAUUACAGCAAGAUUCCGUAUACCAUUUUCCUAAAUUACCCCUAAGACCCUUUGUUUUUACCCUUAAAUCAAAAAUGGAUCAUGGGUCAAUGACCCAAAGAUUCAGGUCCAAAUGAAUGAAUUAGACGAACCUAAAGCCCAAACCAAAAGGGGUCAUAAAUCCAACCAAUCUCGUGAUGAGCAGAAAAAGAAAUAUGCAAGUGAUUUCAAACUCAGAAACUGACCCAACAAGUAAUGAUUUUUUUUACCCUUUUUUCCUUUUAAAGCCAAAAUAGUUGUCACACCUUCUUUUUACCUACACCCCUGUGAAGGGGUAUAUGGGAGUUUUUUCUAACUUAAAAUGACAAUCGAAAUGAGAUUAUAUUUAUUAAAGUUCAUAGUCACCACUUGAGAUAGUUUUAUGAUUUACCAAGUCACCGGUGCAAAUCUCGAAUCAAGGAAAAGAUUGACUCUGUAUUACAGUCUGUGAACCAGAAAUCCGGGUAAAGAAUUCUAUUAACCUGGGAGAAGGUGUUAGGCAUUCCCGAGUUCGAUGGUUCCAGUACGAUCACUUAACUGUUAUUACUGGCCUACUAUCUGAUUUUAUUACAAGUUUUAGACCUAUGUGCAUUUUUAACUUUAACCGCUUCCAACUAUUUUUUAAGGAAGGAUUUGCAACGGUAUUUGAGAUAUGUCUUGAACCAUGUUACAUAAAUGCACCCCCGGUCAGCAACACAUUCUAUAUAACGUUGUUGAGAAUUAGAUUUGGAUCACAUAAAUGCACAUUGAGUUCAGGAAAAUAUUUUUUAUUGCAUGCCUAAAGCAACUAUAAUUCUUCACAAAUUUCUUAACUAAGAAAACGUUAAGGUUAUAUAAAUUAACAAAACAAAGUUUUAAUCGAUCUCGCUACUUCAUUUCUUCAAUAACAAAACUUUCAGCCAACAAAAUUAGAAGGACGCGGGUGAACCUGUUUAUUUAGUAAGAAUCAAGGUAACUAAAAAUGACAAUCACAAUAUCAUACCAAUAUUUCAAUCAAACUUCAAAUACACUUUCUUGAAACAUUCAACAUGAACUAAUCUCACACAGAACUUUCGGCAACCAUUCAUCAUUUAUUAGAACCAAAUUCUCAAAUCAUAAACUAAGAAAUCUUAAAUUGAAAACCAAUACGAGCACAUAAAAAUUGUAUAAUAGGUCAUUCAAACAAGCUCAAAUUAAACACUAGGUGCAUGUAAUGUAUUAACUAGAGUAAGAAAGGAUAAUAAAAUCGAACCUUUAUUGCUGCCCUUUCUUUAACGUAUACAAUAAGAGAAGCCUCCGAUACAAUGAACCAACAAGCGAGCUAAUGACCUGAACUUCGAACCGUCAAAUGAGCCUCGAACGGACAGCGACGACCUCAACGGCUCGAUGACUGGAAACCUCUCACGUUUUGUCACUAUUUCUGCUAUAUUUCCGGCUGGUCAUAAUAGCAGCAUAUGUAAGAGGGCUGAGCGGUAGCUGUGUGUGUGCUCUCCGGUUUCAAUGGUGGUCGCCGGUGACGUCAUGCGUUUGGUUUCCGACUAACAGCAGCUAGUUUGAGUUGUUUGGUCGCUGGAUUUGUUUGGGAAUUAGGAGGAGGUCUCAAGUUGUGAAAAUGGUGAAGAAGCAGAACAUAACCGAUGGGGGUCAUUUUGACGUGCCGUAGUUGAAGGGUUUUGAGGUGGAGGAGCUUCAAUGGAGUUUUCUUGCUAUCUCCAUGAAGAAGACAAUGGAGAAGCUAUGUGAGGGGGUCUGUUUAUUGCGGCAGUUUUCUCUCAAAGUGUCUCCUUCUUCUGUCUAGCCUCCUUGGUCGUUUUUCCUUAAGAAGAGGCCAUGAAAUUUGGCUUUUCUCUGAAGAAGAGAUCAAAACAAUGGGGGUGGGGUUUUUGCUUUUUGCACUAUUGCAGCUGAAGCUCUCUAUCUUCCAA